AACCCAUGGUGAGGGCAUUUUUGCAAAAGGUUCUUAUAUCUCUCCCAUGCAUCGCAGAGUGUUUCUAAAUCCAUCUGCACAAAAGUAGAGAUAUCAUUACGUAAUUU
rfam:Gossypium hirsutum cultivar TM-1 chromosome 13, whole genome shotgun sequence